UGGUGACCACUCCCGUCUAUAAGAAUCCUUCGGGUCUCUAUUUUUAUGCAGGCUUCAACAUUGCCCAACGAGAAAAUUUGCUCGAAGAAUUUACAAGAGUUGUUGAUUACUAUACGUUAUAUAAUCUAUUUCUAUCAUCGCUCGCAAUUUACAUAUAAUUACUUUUAAAUUUAACGAUAAACUGUAUGCUGAAGAUACGUUUUUUAUAAACUAAAUCAACUUUUUACAACCGUUUUUACAUGCAACGUCACUUGUUGGAUUUGGUUUAAUACUUCUACUCACUGCAAAUUAGUUUUGACGGUGCGACACUAUCCUUCAUAGUAUCUUCGUUUGUCGUUGACCGUGGUCCACAUUUCUUAGGCACAUUGAUAAGUGUAAGGUUUCUGUUGGAC